rnacentral:rRNA from 1 species
GAUGAACGCUGGCGGCGUGCCUAAUACAUGCCAGUCGAGCGAACAGACGAGGAGCUUGCUCCUCUGACGUUAGCGGCGGACGGGUGAGUAACACGUGGAUAACCUACCUAUAAGACUGGGAUAACUUCGUGAAACCGGAGCUAAUACCGGAUAAUAUAUUGAACCGCAUGGUUCAAUAGUGAAAGACGGUUUUGCUGUCACUUAUAGAUGGAUCCGCGCCGCAUUAGCUAGUUGGUAAGGUAACGGCUUACCAAGGCGACGAUGCGUAGCCGACCUGAGAGGGUGAUCGGCCACACUAGAACUGAGACACGGUCCAGACUCCUACGGGAGGCAGCAGUAGGGAAUCUUCCGCAAUGGGCGAAAGCCUGACGGAGCAACGCCGCGUGAGUGAUGAAGGUCUUCGGAUCGUAAAACUCUGUUAUUAGGGAAGAACAAAUGUGUAAGUAACUAUGCACGUCUUGACGGUACCUAAUCAGAAAGCCACGGCUAACUACGUG